AACGAACGCUGGCGGCAUGCCUAACACAUGCAAGUCGAACGCUCCGCAAGGGGAGUGGCGCACGGGUGCGUAACGCGUGGGAAUCUGCCCAAAGGUUCGGAAUAACUCAGGGAAACUUGAGCUAAUACCGAAUGAUGCCGCAAGGCCAAAGAUUUAUCGCCUUUGGAUGAGCCCGCGUAGGAUUAGCUAGUUGGUGGGGUAAAGGCCUACCAAGGCGACGAUCCUUAGCUGGUCUGAGAGGAUGAUCAGCCACACUGGGACUGAGACACGGCCCAGACUCCUACGGGAGGCAGCAGUGGGGAAUAUUGGACAAUGGGCGAAAGCCUGAUCCAGCAAUGCCGCGUGAGUGAAGAA
rnacentral:rRNA from 1 species